UACGUAGGGUCCGAGCGUUGUCCGGAAUUAUUGGGCGUAAAGGGCUCAUAGGCGGUCCGUCACGUCGGGAGUGAAAACUCAGGGCUCAACCCUGAGCGUGCUUCCGAUACGGGCGGACUAGAGGUAUGCAGGGGGAGAACGGAAUUCCUGGUGUAGCGGUGAAAUGCGCAGAUAUCAGGAGGAACACCGGUGGCGAAGGCGGUUCUCUGGGCAUUACCUGACGCUGAGGAGCGAAAGUGUGGGGAGCGAACAGG
rnacentral:rRNA from 1 species